AAAUGGUCUGGCCUGCUCACUGAUAAAUAUAUUUAAGAGCCGCGGUAUUUUGACCGUGCAAAGGUAGCAUAAUCAUUAGGGGUUUAAUUGGAACCUGGUAUGAAGGGUUGGACAAAGGAAAAGCUGUCUUUAUAUUGUAAGUUGAAAUUUACUUUUAAGUGAAAAGGCUUAAAUAAAUCAAAGGGACGAUAAGACCCUAUAAAGCUUUAUAAAUUAUUUAAGUUUGAUUGAUUUAAAAUGUAAAAAUUAAGUUUAUAUUAUUUUAUUUUGUUGGGGCGAUAUGAGUAUAAUUUUUGUUAACUGCUUAAGAAAAAUACAAAUUUAAAUGUGUAGAGAUUUAAAUGAUCCUUAUUAAAGAUUAAAAGACUAAGUUACUUUAGGGAUAACAGCGUUAUUUCUUUUGAGAGUUCAUAUCGAAAAAGAAGAUUGCGACCUCGAUGUUGAAUUAAAAUAUCUAUAUAAUGCAGCCGUUAUAAAAGAGGGUCUGUUCGACCUUUAAAUUUUU
rnacentral:rRNA from 1 species